GACGAACGCUGGCGGCGUGCUUAACACAUGCAAGUCGAACGGAAAGGCCCUGCUUUUGUGGGGUGCUCGAGUGGCGAACGGGUGAGUAACACGUGAGUAACCUGCCCUUGACUUUGGGAUAACUUCAGGAAACUGGGGCUAAUACCGGAUAGGAGCUCCUGCUGCAUGGUGGGGGUUGGAAAGUUUCGGCGGUUGGGGAUGGACUCGCGGCUUAUCAGCUUGUUGGUGGGGUAGUGGCUUACCAAGGCUUUGACGGGUAGCCGGCCUGAGAGGGUGACCGGCCACAUUGGGACUGAGAUACGGCCCAGACUCCUACGGGAGGCAGCAGUGGGGAAUAUUGCACAAUGGGCGGAAGCCUGAUGCAGCAACGCCGCGUGCGGGAUGACGGCCUUCGGGUUGUAAACCGCUUUCGCCUGUGACGAAGCGUGAGUGACGGUAAUGGGUAAAGAAGCACCGGCUAACUACGUGCCAGCAGCCCGCGUGAUACGUAGGGUGCGAGCGUUGUCCGGAUUUAUUGGGCGUAAAGGGCUCGUAGGUGGUUGAUCGCGUCGGAAGUGUAAUCUUGGGGCUUAUCCUGAGCGUGCUUUCGAUACGGGUUGACUUGAGGAAGGUAGGGGAGAAUGGAAUUCCUGGUGGAGCGGUGGAAUGCGCAGAUAUCAGGAGGAACACCAGUGGCGAAGGCGGUUCUCUGGGCCUUUCCUGACGCUGAGGAGCGAAAGCGUGGGGAGCGAACAGGCUUAGAUACCCUGGUAGUCCACGCUGUAAACGGUGGGUACUAGGUGUGGGGUCCAUUCCACGGGUUCCGUGCCGUAGCUAACGCUUUAAGUACCCCGCCUGGGGAGUACGGCCGCAAGGCUAAAACUCAAAGGAAUUGACGGGGCCCCGCACAAGCGGCGGAGCAUGCGGAUUAAUUCGAUGCAACGCGUAGAACCUUACCUGGGUUUGACAUGGAUCGGGAGUGCUCAGAGAUGGGUGUGCCUCUUUUGGGGUCGGUUCACAGGUGGUGCAUGGCUGUCGUCAGCUCGUGUCGUGAGAUGUUGGGUUAAGUCCCGCAACGAGCGCAACCCUUGUUCACUGUUGCCAGCACGUUAUGGUGGGGACUCAGUGGAGACCGCCGGGGUCAACUCGGAGGAAGGUGGGGAUGACGUCAAGUCAUCAUGCCCCUUAUGUCCAGGGCUUCACGCAUGCUACAAUGGCUGGUACAGAGAGUGGCGAGCCUGUGAGGGUGAGCGAAUCUCGGAAAGCCGGUCUCAGUUCGGAUUGGGGUCUGCAACUCGACCUCAUGAAGUCGGAGUCGCUAGUAAUCGCAGAUCAGCAACGCUGCGGUGAAUACGUUCCCGGG
rnacentral:rRNA from 1 species